rnacentral:lncRNA from 1 species
GUACCCAGAAUCAACCCUGUGUAUAAACCUCCUGAACAGACAGGUGAUGGUGAUGAGGAAGAUGAAGAGUAUUACAUCCCUGGCACUACUGCACGAGGUAUGCCUACCGGAACUGCUGUUGGAAACACAGGACGUGCACCUCGUCCACAUGUUCCCCGUCGGGUGUCUAUACACAGAGACCUACCUGAAGUUCCUCAGGAACCAAUGCCCUCAAAUGACAAGAUUUAUGAGGUGAUGCACCAUCAAAACAGAAUUACUGAGAUGCUGGUUCAGCAACAAAGUCUGUCUUUAUUACCCAAAAGAGACAUUCCUGUGUUUUCUGGUGAUUCGCUCACAUACAAGUCAUUUCUCAGAGCCUUUGACAAUGCUAUUGACAGCAAAACACAUAAUGAUAGAGACAAACUCUUCUUUCUGGAGCAGUAUACUAGUGGAGAGCCACAAGAACUGGUGAGAAGCUGUGAACACAUGCAGCCAGAAAAGGGCUACAGAGAAGCCAGGCUACUGCUUCAGGAACAAUAUGGUGAUGAGUUGAAAAUAGCUAUGGCCUUCAUAGACAAAGCUUUGAAAUGGCCACAGAUAAAGACAGAUGAUGCGAAAGGCUUGCAUGCAUAUGCUCUUUUCUUGAUUGGUUGUCGAAAUACCAUGCAGGACGUUGACUACAUGGAUGAAAUGGAUAACCCAACGAACAUGAGAGCCAUACUUUCCAAGCUACCAUACAAGAUGAGGGAUAGAUGGAGACAUAAAGCAUUCGACAUUCAGGAACAUAGAAGAAGAAGAGCUAGGUUUGCAGACCUAGUCAGUUACAUAGAGAGACAAGCCAAGGUUGCCAUAGAUCCUUUAUUUGGCACAGCACAGGAAGCCAGUGUACCUGUUAAACAUAAGGAGAAAGACACUACAGUUAAGAACACAAGAGGAAGCACUACAAAGGGUAGCAGUUUUGCUACAAGCAUUGCUACUGACAAGCAGAAGCCUUUGCAUUCAAACCAAAGUGCCAAGACAGAUCAAAUUAAGGUUCCGGAUGCAUGUGUGUACUGUGAGAAGAAGCAUGUACUGGAAAACUGUGAGAAGCUCAAGAAACAGACACACAAAGACAAGAUUGAGUUUUUGAAAC